rnacentral:lncRNA from 1 species
AAAGCGUUGAAGCGAAGCGUUGCCAGAAGACGCUCUUAAAGGCAGUGCCCAAUGAGGGGUAAAGUAAAGCUCUUAGGCCGCCGGCAGAUGACAAAUUGGUCGCUUUUCAUUUUCCACUGCAUAUGUGUGUACAUUUGUGCCAAUGAAUCUGCAUGUGUCUGAAGCGCUUUCUGAUGGCCAAAAGCAAUCGAUUUUCCUCUCCUUUUUUGGCAAGCGAGAGUGAUUUCCUGCCCAUUGCCGCCAAACUUCAUCAAGGCAACAUCUCUUAUCAGCGGAGUGUUGGGAGGGAGUGUUGGCUGCAUGCCUGGAAUAUCUUCCGGUUCCGCAGUUUUUGAUGUCUUCCUCUCACUGGGUGGUGGAAGAUGGAAAGUGGAGUGUCGACAAGAGGAGAGGAGAGCUUGGAGUCAGUAGCUGCAAAAAAUAAUAAUCAAGGAGCCGGCGUUAGCGUGGCGCGGUUGUCCCUUUUGAUGCCACAAAAAAUUCAGGAAAAUCAAUUGCAAAUGGAUACAGACACUUGAACGUACCUUGGUGCAUAUUUGAUAUAUGCAUACGAUCCCUACAUUAAUAUGUAUAUUCAACUCAACUAUGAAUGCGAAUUCCACUCAAAUCCCGUGGGAUUUGGCACGUGCUGCUAAAAACCCAAUGCAAUGGGGGCAGCCAGACCGUUUGGGUCCAAGCUAGAUCUGGCACAAGGGCAGGUCGUAAAGAGAUACUAUUUAGGUGACCGAAAACCAUUUAAAAACGUGUGAAAAAGGGCACACUUUGCGCUGCAUACUUUCAGGAGCUUAGUGAAAAUUAGAAAUCAAAUAAAUGUUUUCUCCUUUAUUCCUUCAGAGGAAGAUUGUGCUGUUGAUCCCAUAAGAACUGCAGAAUUAUUUUCGUCACACACAGGAGGGGCAUGGCCGCUGGUUGGCAUAGCGAAAGAGAGCGUGACAACAACAAAGGAACCAGCCAGCUAACACAACAAGAAAACCGAACAAUUGCUGUCUAAAUUCAUUGUGUGCGCCUUUGUCUGAUUCGAUGUUGCUGUGUGUUGCAGGCGCUUAAAGGGGAAAGGAUCACUUGGAGACCAGCACACACACACACACACACACACAGGGUGCAUGUGUUCGCAUUCGUUUCAAUGGAAAUGUCUAUGAAUGUACAAUUUACAUUGAUGCCGCAUUGUGGCAUUGUCUGCUGUAUACUAUGCAUGCUCGUUCUCCCAGAGCUAUAUGCGGAAAUAUUGUUUAUGUGUCUCUCGGUGGCGCUCUGUCCCGCUUUGGCGAACUAUACGACCGUCUCUUUUGCUGCCUUCCGACAAACACAAACAGAUGUAAGUUGAUUGUGUGCAGUCAAACACCUCGCUACACUUUACCAUCGAUGGCGGAGAUGCUGAGAGUGUGG